rnacentral:rRNA from 1 species
GACGGGGGAUGCGAGCGUUAUCCGGAAUGAUUGGGCGUAAAGGGUCCGCAGGUGGCCCGGUCAGUCCGCUGUCAAAGCCUGGGGCUCAACCCUGGAGAGGCGGCGGAGACCACCGGGCUUGAGUCCGGUAGGGGCAGAGGGAAUUCCCGGUGGAGCGGUGAAAUGCGUAGAGAUCGGGAGGAACACCAGUGGCGAAGGCGGCUCGCUGGGCCGGACCUGACGCUGAGGCGCGAAGGCGUGGGGAGCGAACGGG